rnacentral:rRNA from 1 species
GUGCACCAGUCGCGAAUCCUCCGCAAUGCGCGAAAGCGCGACGGGGUUACCCCGAGUGCCGUCCGCUGGAGGACGGCUUUUGCCCAGUGUAGCCGAGCUGGGCGAAUAAGGAGAGGGCAAGUCUGGUGUCAGCCGCCGCCGGUAAUACCAGCUCUCCGAGUGGUGGGGACGCUUAUUGGGGCCUAAAGCAUCCGUAGCCGGUCUGG